AUCUUAUGACCAUGGACAUCGUCAAGUGGUUUGGACAUCUCAACUCACUUGAAACCUUGAAGAUUACGUAUUACUCUAAGUUCGAUUUCUUACCAUCUCACCUCAUUCUGUACACAUCAUUAGUGUGUGUGCUUUGCUUAAAAAUAACACCGAAUUAAGAGAGGAAGGGAAAGAUUGUUCCAAGAUUUCUGACAUCCAUAGCAUACUAUCAAUGUGGAAAAUAUAUGAUGCAGUUGCAUUGCCUUGAGGGGUUCCGGCCAUUUCCAUUAAUCAUAAUCUUCCAAAAUUAUGUCAGCUGUGGGUGGUAACUUCCUUGGUGGGAUUUAUAUGCCUUGGAGGAAUGCUAAUUGAUGAAAGCUUGAUCUUCUAGGGGGCCAGACUUGGAAAGAGCAGAAAGGAAAUUCCCAGAUAGACAAUGUUGGUACUAAAAUGAAAUUCUUACUGCCAUAUAUUGAAGUCAUUUUGUCAUGCAAUGCUUCCAACCUGCAACGAAAGGUGCUUUACUGCCAUAUACUAACGUUAUUUUGUCUAGGAUUUGAAAUUGAAAAAUGACCUGAAGGAUACUUUCUCCGGAACAAUAAAGUCAUUGGCAAAAAACUCGGAGUUGUGUGUAGAAAAAAGAUGACUUGAGGACGAACAGUGUUGCACCUUCACUAUGGAGCUCAUCUCAGCAAGGAAAUUUUUUCCUGAUUCUAGGACACUUUAGGAUGCCAGAGAAGGAUCAUUUCCUGUUACAUAACUCGAAAAAACAUUACUCCAGUGUAGUCGCCUAGUAGGCGAGGGUGGGGUUUUCUGUCAAAGGCUUCAACUUCCAAGGGGCCAAUAAAUACUCAAACCGGCAGCUAUGUUUUAUUUGUUUCCUUCCCCUGCUAACUUGCUAUUUGUCUUCUAUUUAUAUGGCUUUAUUAAUGGAUAUAUCAGCAAGAAUCACUUGAUUUUAUUAGCUAUUAUACUUAUGUAGUGUUCAUAUAAGAGUUUCAGAAUGUUUCAUUAUAUGCAAUUGUGAAGGAAUUGGAUUCUGAGGUCAUGAAUGGCAUGGGUUUGCAUAUAUGCAAUGUUUACUGUUGAAGUUGAGUCUCUACUUUCUACUGGUUGAAUUAGUGGCAACAUAUUCCACAAUUUGGUGCAAGCUUUUAUCUUGGAACAUACAAAACUGAAAAACAAAGAAGCAGAUGACACACCUUGACCGAAGAGUUUUCCAUUCAGAUUACAAAGCUCUACUAGUACCUGGAGCCUGAAGGAAUGUUGAAACGGGCAGGUCAAAG